rnacentral:rRNA from 1 species
AGAGUUUGAUCCUGGCUCAGGAUAAACGCUGGCGGCGUGCGUAACACAUGCAAGUUGAGCGACGGUUCUUGAAGGUGGUGACACUGGACGGAAUACGGAGCAGCGGACUGGUGAGUAAUAUAUGAGGAGCUGUCCUACAGAGGGGGACAACAUCUGGAAACGGAUGCUAAUACCCCAUAGGCCUGCGGGUUAAAGCAGUAAUGCACUGUAGGAGGUACUCGUAUCCUAUCAACUAGUUGGCGGGGUAACGGCCCACCAAGGUAACGACGGGUAGCCGGCCUGAGAGGGUGUCCGGCCACACUGGGACUGAGAUACGGCCCAGACUCCUACGGGAGGCAGCAGUGGGGAAUAUUGGGCAAUGGGAGAAAUCCUGACCCAGCGACGCCGCGUGAACGAAGAAGGCCCUAGGGUCGUAAAGUUCUUUUAUGCGAGAAGAAAACAAUGACGGUAUCGCAUGAAUAAGCCCCGGCUAACUACGUGCC